ensembl:lncRNA ZRANB2-DT ZRANB2 divergent transcript
AGGUGGAGCUGGAAAGGUGGAGGCGGAAGUGACUGAUCAAUUCAGGGGCGUGGGGUUCGUUUAGGUUUUGCCCUGUGUAUGACCUCGUUUGGAGCCAUGAAACCAGGAAGCUCUUCCACGAGUUCACGAAUGGAAAUAACAUCAAGAGUUUUUCAUCUUCUUAGUGUGCAAGGUAGUUCCAAAAUGUCUUAAAAGGAAGAGAUAAAGUUAAAUUAAAAGUACUGUAUUGGCUGAAGAUAGCAGUGUUUAAGCCUGAAUUCUAAGCCACUUCUUUGAAAUUUCCUCAUUUUUUUGUGGGGGGAGGCAUUUCCCAUGUAUAUAUUGGAAUAUAUGUGCUAAUAAACUUGUUUGCUUUCCUC